UUUUUUUUUACCAUAAGCCGUCACUUGCCGCUGACUAGUGAAACACAAAAAGACCUUGAAAAUCUCUACUUUCCAAGCUUAAUGUCAUACUCAUCAUCAGCUUACCGAAAUAUUAGACUAGUUAUAUAUAUAAUUAUCAUAACUAAAACAUUUAAGUGUAAUCUUAUUUUCUAUAUAUAUUUACUGCUAUUUCUAAAUAGUAGUUUUAAUACAAAAAUCUAAGAAAUUGCCACUUUAAGUGCAACAAAGGCCUAACCACUAUCACCACUAGAUGCCAAACACCCUCUAAACAGCAAAACCUAAAAGCAAACCAACACGAUAUCCACACUAGAACAUGAACAAUGAAUGCAUACCAAAACUUCAAACCGAACAAACAAACGAUUACCUAAAAUCACUCUAACCGCAUCUGCAAAACUCCGAUUCCUCACUCCAUUCACCGGAUCCGGAGACCGAUAACAAUCAGACAACAACGACGACGAAACAUACGUCACAACCGCAAAAAACAACAACGCAACAGGUCCUCCGAUCCAACCUAACUUUGACACGCUCCACGCGAGCGAAAGCACUCCAGAUCCGAUCACAGCGGUUAUUAUGUGCGCAACUGAACUCCACAGCGUACCUGUUUCAGAUGUUCGAUUCACAUCAUUUCAAUUCAAUCAGAAAACACGCAAAUGAAGUGUUGAACACUCAGAUGAGAUCUACCUGUUCUUACUGUGAUUUUAUGAUCAUCGGUUGUGGAAACUUGCGGAAGAAGUUUACGUUCGACUGUUAGGUCUAUUGAUUUGUGAUUGAAAUCUGAGAGCUGCAGCAUUGGAGUCUGUUCUUCGUGUUUUGAGGAAGAGUUUGCAAGUGAAAGUGUUGUUCCUCAUUGGAGGCUGCAAGUCAAACUCUUUCUUAAUGGUGUAAUUUAAGCUCAUUAUUAAUUAAUUGUGAUUAUAAAGGGUAAUUUGUUACGGAAGUUUAGCGUGUUUGGUUUGUAUCGCUGACUGACAUUAGAUGUUAAGUUGAUGUGAAAUGACUGUUAUGUGUUUGGUUUGUAAUGCUGACUAAGGUUAGAUGUUAAGUUGAUGUGAAAUGACUAUUAUGUGUUUCGCUUGUAACGGUGAAUGAGGUUAGAUGUUAAGUUGAUGUGAAA